GCUUCCACUAGAUGUCAACGAUCUUUAUAAAGUUGUUUGAAGCGUCUAUGAUAAACAGAGAGCAAAUUAGAAUCCAAGGAAGUUGACAUGUCAUCACUUCAUUUUUUUGCGCCUGCGCAUAAAUCUGAGAAACGUGAGUUUGUCAUCAUUUUUUAUCUAGAAAUAGGAUAGGUUGUGUGAAAAUAUUACUGAUGUUUAACGUUAAAAAUGGACCAAAAGAUUAAUGCUAAACAACAUUUGACAUGUUUGAACGAACAUAAAUAGAUUAUUUACUAGGUUUUUUUAGCUUUUCGGCGUGAUUUUACCAGCCCCCCCAACCACGUUUUGUGGGAGCAUAAUGAACGCUAAGUACUUGGUGUUAUUUGGACAUAAAUUAUGAACUUUGUCAAAAGAAACCACAUUUGUUCCGGACCUGGAAUGCCUUCCGGACCUGGGAUCCUGCCUUCUGAUGGAGAUAAUCAAAGGCCGGUGGUGGCUGGUCCCCUACAAGAAGAUGAGGUGCCGGAGGUCCCUCCACCCCCCCUGGACAUCGGGGGGUCCCCGGCGUACAGCGUAAGGGCCAUUCUGGACUCGAGACGCCGGGCGGGG
rnacentral:lncRNA from 1 species